rnacentral:rRNA from 1 species
UUGAAAGGGAAACGAUUGAAGUCAGUCGUACCAGCGGGAAAUCAACCUUUCGAGUGGGGGUUUUGGAGUUUUGAAGAGUGUCAAAACCUUUGAGAUUUCAAAAUAUUCGCUCUUUUGGUGUACUUUCUCGUGGGUAGGUUAACAUCGAUUUUGAUCAUCAUAAAAAGAUUGGAGGAAUGUAGCUUCGAUCUUGUACUGAAGUGUUAUAGCCUUUGGUAAAUGUGAUGAUUAGGAUCGAGGAUUGCAACGAAUACCCUUUUGGGCUAUCCGCCUGAUCUCUGAUACGUGGCCUUGGUAUCGAAAGCUUGCUUAUGGUAUUAAGGUAUUACGGUCAAAAGGUUAGAACGGAUUACAUUCGUUAAGGAUGUUGACGUA